rnacentral:rRNA from 1 species
AUUGAACGCUGGCGGCGUGCUUAACACAUGCAAGUCGAACGAAGUGGAGAACGGGUGAGUAACGCGUAAUCAACCUGCCCUUCAGAGGGGGACAACAGUUGGAAACGACUGCUAAUACCGCAUAAUGAAGGAGGGGAAUGGGGCUGAUUAGCUAGUGGGCGGGGUAACGGCCCACCAGGGCGAUGAUCAGGAGCCGGUCUGGGAGGAUGAACGGCCCCAUUGGGACUGAGACACGGCCCAGACUCCUACGGGAGGCAGCAGUGGGGAAUCUUCCGCAAUGGACGAAAGUCUGACGGAGCAACGCCGCGUGAGUGAUGACGGCCUUCGGGUUGUAAAGCUCUGUUAAUCGGGACGCGGUACCGGAAUAGAAAGCCACGGCUAACUACGUGCCAGCAGCCGCGGUAAUUC